UACGUAGGGUCCGAGCGUUGUCCGGAAUUAUUGGGCGUAAAGAGCUCGUAGGCGGUUUGUCGCGUCUGUCGUGAAAGCUUGGGGCUUAACCCCAAGUCUGCGGUGGAUACGGGCAGACUAGAGGCAGGUAGGGGAGAACGGAAUUCCCGGUGUAGCGGUGAAAUGCGCAGAUAUCGGGAGGAACACCGGUGGCGAAGGCGGUUCUCUGGGCCUGUACUGACGCUGAGGAGCGAAAGCGUGGGGAGCGAACAGG
rnacentral:rRNA from 1 species